UACGGACUCUGAAAUAAUCAAACCACCCAAUUGAACACCCCACUUUGUUAAACCAUAUGCGGUCUCAUUAGCCUCCCGAUAAACAUGUUGAAAGGAUACUUGCAAUUGAUUACUAAUAUCCAUGACCUCCAUCUAUGUAUUAUGCAACAUCCAUGGUAAUCGAAAAAUCCUAUUACACCCAUUUGAUAGCAUUAAGCGAAUUACCCUCCAUGGAACAAGGAAUAAGGCAAAAACUCUGAUGAAGAAUGUGAAGGCCUUGUAGAACUGCUUCCAUUUUUGCAUGGUUUGCAGUAGUCUCUCCACACGGUCUUGCAUAACAAAGAAACAAAUCGCCAUUGGAAGGUAGUAUCAAGUUUGAAUUUUGACGGCAGUUCGCUAUUGUAUUGAAACAACAUAUUACAAUACUAUUUGAAGGUGCACCUUAUUUUGACUGUUUUGAGCCUUAGCCUUAUACAACCCACACCUAAAUCUAAAAUCCUAGAUAUCUUGUAUUAAAA
rnacentral:lncRNA from 1 species